CAUUUAUUUGCUCAUAAUGUGUUGUAACUUGACAGUCUUUUCCCUGUGCUAGUAUGGUGACUUUACUAUAUACUUUCUAUAAUUUACCCCUCUGUGUAGAGAAAGCAUUUUUUUUCCUUUCUCCUUCCCAGUCUUCCCCCACUCUUCCUUAUUUCACUUAACAAUGUAGGCUUAACCUUUCUUCUUGCAUCAGUAUAAGUUAUACAAUGAAUUCUCAAACUCUGUUAGCUCAUCAAGUAAAAUAGAAAUUAAAAAGGUUCUUGUAAUUGAGUUUAAUAUUUAAUGCUUGUAAAGCAACAGCACUAUUUUAAAUGUUCAAACCGUGUGUGACACUUUUUACAAGGAUAAUCAUGAAUUCCUAACUGAAUAUGAAAUGUUGAACCAGUCUUGGUAUAUUUUUGGGCGAUAGUGAAGAACAAAUAUCCCUCCUAGCCACUCUGUGUUUAAAUUGAUGACAUUUGGGGUUCCAGUGCAUUUGUGGCACGUCAUUCUUAUUACAAAGGGAACUGAUUCUAUUCAGGGAUACAAAGAUUUAAUAAGCAAGUGGUCUGAGUGGGGUUAAUAGGCAUUACAUUUCACACUACAAGUCGUUUUACAUUCCUAGAAAAUUGAUGAGGGUUGGGAUCAAUUCCUGUUUUUCAAUUCCAAUUCAUUUUUUAAAUCAAUCCCCAAUGAAUUUGAAUUGCUAUUUUAGAGACAUAAUACUUGUAUUAUUGUAUUAUUGUUAGUAAUUAAUUAUAGUUUUAUCUUGAGAUUAAUGUUUUUGAUACUGUAAACAUUUUAAACGGCACACAAUUAUGCUGAGGUGGGAAGUAAAUAGUAACAUGAUAAACAUUUACAGUGUAGACUAUUUUGUAUUAUUUGUAAUGACUUUGCCCAAUAGAAAGCAAAUGUGAGUGUUUCCAAAGAUUCGUAAAUACAGCAUUUUAAUUUGUUGCACCCAAAGACAUGUAAUUAAGUUUUAAGAAUGAAGCCUAUUGAUUUGGUUUUCUGUCUCAGCAAUUUGUCAGUCCCAGACUGUAGUGUAAAAUUAUAUAUUAAAUAAAUGGGGAAAAAAGAAAUGUGUUAACCAGAUUAUUCUUCCUUUUAUUGCAACUGUAUUACCAUUCAGUGAGCGAACAUUGUAAAGGGUACUUUAGCUGAAACCUCCCGACAGAAGGGGUACAGUUGGAAUUGAUUUAAAAGGGGAUUGGAAUUGACCCAAACCUAAUGAGGUACCACUGCUCAUAAGAGAUGGCUUACUUAGUAAAUAUUUUGUAUAAGCUUGAAGAGCAGACUUUGGAGCCACUGUAUAAUUCUAUCAGUAUGCUAUUGUGCUAGGAUGGUAUUCCUGCAUUUAUGGUUGAUUUCUUUCUUGAGACAAUGGAACUCUUCAUUGAAACUCUCACUGGAACUUGCUUUGAACUGCGAGUGUUGCCUUUCGAGACUGUGAUUUCAGUGAAGGCCAAGAUACUAAGACUAGAGGGUAUUCCUGUUGCCCAGCAGAAUUUAAUCUGGAACAAUGUGAAACUAGAAGAUGAGUAUAGCUUAAAUGAUUACAACAUUUCAGAAGGGUGUACUCUGAAGCUUGUGCUAGCCAUGCGAGGCGGGCCCAUCAAUACCAGGAGAGUUCCAAUGGAAGACCCUGUGAUGGAAAUGACAGAGUACACAGACCCAACCCGGGAUGAGGUCUGGGACAAGGGUCCUUCCAACAAGCAGGUUACCUUACUAGUUUAUCGUGAAGGGGACCACUUAAAUUUGUUCCGGGUUGUGGACCGUGGAGAUGGCACUUUAACACCUCUCUCUGAAUCAAUAAGUGGAGGCUCGGUGUACAACUUGUAUACUGAAGAGGAUGAAGAAAGCGAUGUUUCACCAUCUAGCCAGCAGAUCAUGGAUAAUUCAAUCACUAUGAAUAAAAUGAAGAUGCUCAAGGCAAAGAUGGAAAACAUGAACCUCAGUAACAAGCCCAAGAAACCUGCCAAGGUGAAACCAAGCCCUCCCGUGGGCCCUCUCCCCUCCAGUGGCUCCCUGAAUGCUGUUCGUCACCGACUGUUCCGGGUCCUUCCUCACAUCAGCCAGGCCCUGAACCCUGCAUCGUGCCUACCUCCAGUUGGGGACCAGCACCCCUCUGCAACUGCUGCUGCCUCCCCACAUAGUGCACUCUCCAUGCUCACCCCCCCCAGCCAAGCAUUGCCAUCCUCCAGCAGUUACCUUGUAAAAGAGGAAGAAACCUGGGAAUGUCCAAUACUGGCAUCCCCACUGAGCAAAAUCUGGUCGCCUCCUAAAGUGUCGCGGGUAGAGCUGGGGAGCUCAAAACUGCUGAAAAACACAGUCCUUCCACCUGUCACAUCCCUGCAGAACAGGGAAGCAACCGAGAGCAGCACAGUGGAAACAGAAACCAAAAUAGAAGGUGCCUUCUCACAUUCCCUUAGAGAAUACCAUGCUUUAGCUGAAACCUGCAAAGAUGCUUUUAAUUUGCUAGUUGAAAAUCUGACUGACAUAAGUGCAGCUGUAAAUUUAGAACCAGUAGAUGAAGGUCUUGGAUCAACAGAAGAAGCAGCUGCUCCUGCGCAGUCUAUUGUUCUUUCCAAAGCGAUGAGCUCCAAGUACAUGGACACUGGGAUUGUGACCAUUGACCAAGCCUCUCAGACGGACAAGAAAGUCCCCCUACAGUAUAUGUUUGAGUCUGCCUCCAGCUCCUUAGCUAGACCCCAGAGAUUACCAGAACCUUUUGAAUACGGCAACCUGAGACCCAUUGCUUCCCAUUCUGUGUUGAAAUCCAGGGACUCUUCUGGUAUCCCAGGUGUCUCUCCGACCCAAACUGCGAGGUUUCAGGGUGUAACCGUGGACUCCCCUAGCAAGCAUCCUGACAUAUCAAAAACAGAAUCACCCAAUGUUACAGACAUGGCAAAUAUGACGUCCAGCAAACCUUUGGCAUCUGUGAAUAAUUUAGGAAUCCUGGCUUCGCUGGCACGAGGCACAAGCGGGAACAGAUUGCAGGGAAGCUGUAGGAGAAGGCACUACACAAACGGUGGGCCCCUUCUUGCAAACCUCCAGCUCUUUCCAAAGGACACUGAUAGCUCAUUCAUGUGGCUGCAGGAGAUUGAGAGCUCAAGGCAGGCUCUGCCUCCCCAGCAAGUAAACCAUACGGCAGUUUCUGAUACCACAACAGCAUGGAGUGCACAGGAUUACUCUGCAAGCACACUUAUCAGAAAACCAGGUCCAAGGCUCUUGGUCACCAAGACAAUAACACCUCCAUAUAAGUCAUCUGGAGCUGUUAACAAUCUUCCUAGCACUGAAACACUUUGUACUGCUUUUAAACAAAAGGGCAGCACUAGUUCUUGCCGACAACACCACAGCUGUAAAAUACAUAAACCACCAAGGAGACACAAAAUCAUGGACACUGCUUUCUAGCCAUAAGAAUCUGGAACUGGUGCAGGACACAGGACAUCACUAUUCAGGCAACAUACAUACCCGGGCUCGACAACAGACUCGCAGACCUGCUGAGCAGAGAAAUGGUGCCUCACGAGUGGAAAAUUCAACCACAGGUAUUACAAGAGGUAUUCAGAAAAUUAGGGCACCCAAAAAUAGACCUAUUUGCCACAACACAAAACAGCCAGCUGCCACUGUUUUGCUCCUGUUUCCAGGAAAAGCAGCCAUGGCAACAGAUGGUCUUUCCAUUUCAUGGGCAAACAGCUUAAUGUACCCUCCCAUGCCACUAAUCCCAGUGGUGCUCAGGAAAACAAGAAGAGACAAAGUCACUCUCAUUCUGGUAGCCCCUUACUGGGCCUAGGUUCUGGUUCUUGGAGAUCCUGGACAUAGCAGAGGAGGGACCUGUGCACUUACCAGUGACCUGCAAUCUACUGUCUCAAAACGAGGGGAGGUUGCUACACAACAAUCCUUCAUGGUUACGGCUAGCUGCCUGGAGAUUGAACAGCAAAAACUAACAAAUCAGGGGCUAUCUGAACAAGUAGUCAAUAUCUUACUUGCUUCAAAGAAAAAAAGAAAACUUCCACUUUUCUAGCCUAUACAGGAAAAUGGAGAGAGUUUACUCUCUGGUGCAGCUCAAUAUAUAUAUAUGGGACCACCGUUUGAGCCCAUGGCAACAUGCAAUGAAAAAUUCUUGACAUGGAAGGAGGGUAAGUGAGCUCCAAGCACUAGUGAUUGAUGCACCCUGGUCUGUAGACCCAAUUCCGAUCUAAAGGGGGAACACGUUUUCAUAUUAACCAGAUCAUAACUUUUCAUGAUUUUUACCCAAAAUCACAUAAAUCAGAAGAGGCUGCUAGACACCACCUAAUUGAUGUAAGGAGAGCACUGAAUUUCUACAUUCACAGAACUAUCAAUAAAAGAGCAUCAGGACAGCUUUUUGUGUCUUUUAACUCACAAACUCGGGGGAAGUCUGUGUCAAAACAGACCAUUUUAAGAUUGAUCACCUCCUGUAUUCAGUUUUGUUAUGAACUGGAGAAAAAACUGUUCCAGGACCUAUCAAAGUCCACUCGGUAAGAGGAGCUGCUACUACUUGGGCAAAAUGUAAACCCGUCCCAAUCCAGGACAUCUGCAAUGCUGCUAUCUAGGCCUCUUUCGAGACCUUUUAUAAAAUUUAAAUGUGUCUUGCUCUCAGCCCACUUUUACUCACUCUGUGUUGUCUGUGGCUUCUUCCACUAAUAUUUGACCUACCACCCUUUAUCUGUUUCCUUUGGUAGAGUUCACUCUGUGUGUGGAGUUCAUCAUACAAGGUAAGAAGACGAAGAUUAUCUAUAAUAUGGUUUCUUGAUAAAAUGAUGAACUCCACACACCUAUAUCCCACCUUCUUCCCCUGGUUUUUGUCUUUACUGAAUUUUUUUUUUAAUUUGGACAACAACACUAAAGGAUAUGGGAUGUUUUAUAGAGGAGGAGUACUACUUUGGCACCAAAACAAGUUUAUAUCAAGGAUCUAUGGGAAAGAGAUUGUUUGUUUUGUUUUUCUCCUGACCUAAGCAACAUGGAGACUGGGAGUUCACUCUGUGUGUGGAGUUCAUCAUUCUACAAAGAAACCAUAUCACAGCCUGCUCAUGGUUUCAGUGGAGGGGCUUCUAGCUCAGUAAGGAGAGUAGG